rnacentral:rRNA from 1 species
AGUGGGGAAUCAUGGGUCAAUGGGCGAAAGCCUGAACCUGCGACGCCGCGUGAGUGAUGAAGGUCGUAAGAUCGUAAAACUCUUUUCAGGGAUCUUAAAGGCAGCGCUCUAACAGAGCGUCUGCUGUGACUAUCUCUGGAAUAAGCCCCAGCCAACUACGUGCCAGCAGCUGCGGUAAUACGUAGGGGGCGAGCGUUAUUCGGAAUUACUGGGUGUAAAGGGUAUGUAGGCGGCCCGACAAGUCGCGUGUCAAAGUCCAGCGCUCAACGCUGGGUCCGCACGUGAUACUGUCAGGCUUGAGGGCUGGAGAGGUGAGCGGAAUUCCCGGUGUAGUGGUAAAAUACGUAGAUAUCGGGAGGAACACCAGCGGCGUAGGCGGCUCACUAGACAGUUUCUGACGCUAAGAUACGAAAGCGUGGGGAGCAAACAGGAUUAGAUACCCUGGUAGUCCACGCCCUAAACGAUGGAUACUUGGUGUUGGGGGGUUACCUUCAGUGCCGGAGCUAACGCGUUAAGUAUCCCACCUGGGGACUACGGCCGCAAGGCUAAAACUCAAAG